rnacentral:rRNA from 1 species
GACGAACGCUGGCGGCGUGCUUAACACAUGCAAGUCGAGCGGGAAGGCCCUGCUUUUGUGGGGUGCUCGAGUGGCGAACGGGUGAGUAACACGUGAGUAACCUGCCCUUGACUUUGGGAUAACUUCAGGAAACUGGGGCUAAUACCGGAUAGGAGCUCCUGCUGCAUGGUGGGGGUUGGAAAGUUUCGGCGGUUGGGGAUGGACUCGCGGCUUAUCAGCUUGUUGGUGGGGUAGUGGCUUACCAAGGCUUUGACGGGUAGCCGGCCUGAGAGGGUGACCGGCCACAUUGGGACUGAGAUACGGCCCAGACUCCUACGGGAGGCAGCAGUGGGGAAUAUUGCACAAUGGGCGGAAGCCUGAUGCAGCAACGCCGCGUGCGGGAUGACGGCCUUCGGGUUGUAAACCGCUUUCGCCUGUGACGAAGCGUGAGUGACGGUAAUGGGUAAAGAAGCACCGGCUAACUACGUG